CCCAUGAACCCCAGGCCGCCGAGGCAGAGCAUGUGCACUUAACCACUAUGCCACUGGGCCAGCCCCUACCUUUAGACUUGGAAAACCUUGCAUUGCAAUGUUUAAAAAAAAAAUCACAGAAUUGCCUUUGGUUUUGUAGAGGUAGAACUUUCCAUAAUGUAAAGGUUUUUGCUACCGUCUUUAGAAAUGAUUAGAACGAUUAGGGAAAUGUAAGAGUCAUAAUAUGGAGCAGCCACAGCAAUCAUUGUUUGGACAGUUUGAAACUAAUAACAAAAGAUAAAGAAGAAUAUUCUUAGUAUCUAAGCUUCAUAGGUACCUGCCUUCAUAUCUCUAAACUGAAUAAUGAACCAACCGUUUGGGUUGUAAACCCUUAUUAGAAAGGUGUUUGCAUUUACACCGUCAUAUGUAUAUUUAUUUAAAAAUUUCAUACAUGACAAUUUUAUAGAAUAGAAGUUUUGAAUGAGGUGAAACAAAAGUUUAAAAAUGUUAACGAUUAAAAAGUUGAUAUCUAGUGUCUCUAAGGAAAAUAAUGAACACUUUAUCGCAUUAAACGUUGUUUUAAGACUGUGAUGCAGUAAUUCAGGGUUCAGCCUAUUUGAUGGUUGGUUUUAACGCACCGUCAUGGCUUAAAAAAGGUGGCUUCCAAACUCUAAACGGAGGAGGGGCACUGCUGGUCAUGUUAAGUCAUGAUGCUUAUUAAUUCACUUUUAUUCGCCAAUUAUGCAAAGGUUUUUGUUGAAAUCUGACUAGUAAAUUUCCGUCUUCUCUAAUAGCAGACUAAUUGAAACGUGUUAGAGUUUUGUAUUUUUUAACCAGGGACUUUAAAGCGCUCAAACUCUUCAUUUGGAAAGUUUUGAACAAGUUGUAAGAGCAUUUCCAACACUGUUUAACAUGUUUACCUGGGUUUUGGCCAAAAGAUGACUUAAACAAUGGCAACACUUCCAAACAUCCUUUUCUGACAUCCUUCUCCAUAGCGCUCGCUCAGUAGUCUUUUCUAGGGCUCUCGGUCAUGGGGCGCGGGGUGGAGUAGGUUCUAGUGUGUGGGUCUUCUUUUGCCAUGUGGCUUCCUGCUCACUGGCCCAUGUGCGUGCCGUAGACAGUGGCCUCACCGCCAGCCCCUGUCCUGCGCUUCCUCAGGAGCCUGGAGGUCCUGGGCCCUGUAAGUGCCAGGCUGAGCAGAGCAGAGAGAAGCUGCACAGUGUGUGUGUGUGUGUGUGUGUCUGUGUGUCUGUGUCUGUGUGUGUGUGUGUGUGUGUGUCUGUGUGUGUGUGUGUAACGGCGCCCUGUAAGUGCCAGGCUGAGCAGAGCAGAGAGAAGCUGCACAGUGUGUGUGUGUCUGUGUGUGUGUCUGUGUGUGUGUGUGUGUGUCUGUGUGUGUGUGUGUGUAACGGCGCCCGUGAGUCACUGUGCUGUGUUCCUGCCGUACCCUUCCCUCACAACCACUGGAGAGAGCCUGGACACUCAGACAGGGGGAGGGGAAGCAACUUUCACAAUCUUCUUCCAGGUCAGAUUCGUCUGCUUCUCCUCACUCUUCUGGUUAGGCCUUCCUGCUAUUGGUUUUGUCUUAUUCCAUAUUUGGAUCUUCGUUGACCAAUUUUGAGUAUCUUCUUCCUUUCUCUUCUAGACAUUUCUUCUUUCUAAACUUCCGUGUUUCUCAUUUCUUCCAACUGUAGGAAAAGCCAACUCUAACGACCGUUAAACUCUGCCUUCAGUUCUCAGCACUCUGCAGGGUGACAUCCUGAGGUACCAUCUUGGGGAAUCUGUAUAGACUGUGAAGUAGCACAUUAGGAAAGUAGAGGCAAGUUUGCUUGGGGGAGGGGUCUAUUUAAUGAUAUCAAAGUUCUGCCCACCUCAGUUCUUCCUAUACUUGCUACCAAGGAUGAUGUGAUCCAUUUUCCUUCCUUUGAGGUACAUGGCAAUCAACUUUACUCCUAAAUUUCAUAUGCUCAAAUCAUCUAAAUGGCUUGGUUAUUAGAAAGGAUAAAAUGAGCUUUUUCACUCCGGAUCCCUCUUUCUUCCCACACAUGUCUCUGUGAUCACUCCUACUAUCACUGUAGCCCCACUGUCUUCCCAUCGUGUACAACUGGACUCACCACUCAGGCCCCAACUUUGCGGUCAUUGACGUCUCACCUGCUUCCCUGUUUUCACUUCUUCCAGCAAAUGGUUAUGGUGCCCUCUGCUAUGAACAGAGCGCUGUCUAAGUCCUGGGACUACAAGGUUAUGCUGGCCUCACCUGCGGAUCUGACAGCCAGCCUGUGGACACAGCCAUAUCAACUUGAUGCUGUGAUGAUCAGCAAGGAGAAACUAGGUGUUGGGAAGACACUCCUCAAAGUCAGAUGUGAUUUCGUGGAAUGAGAGUCCAAAAGCGCCCAUGACCCAUCCCCACCCCAAGACUAAUACCCAAACUGUUGGGGGACCGACCAGGAGACUGAAGAGAAGCACAGUGGCCGUUCUGUGUGCGGCUGCAUCUCAGAUUGCAGUAGCCCCUGCCAGACUCCUCACGCCCACCUGCGAUAGCACGCUGCUCCUCUCCCCACAUCCCUGCACUCCUCUGAACCCUGGAGCAGGCAGCAGCGAAGAGUCAGGCUGGAGACUCCUCCCAAACAAGUCAAUGGCGAGCGAAGCAAGCGCUCUAGACCUGUGUGGUCCAAUGCAGCUGCCACCGGACACAGGGGGAGACCCAGCACUUGAAAUGAAGCCAGUGCAAAUUGAGAUGUGCUGUAGCUGUAAAAUACACACCAGAUUUUGAAUACUUAGUAUAAAAAGAGAGUGUAAAAUGUCUCAUUAAUCAUUUUAUGUUGAUUACAUUUUGAAAUGAUACUGUUCUUGAUAUACUGGGUUAAAUAAAAUAUGUUAAAACUAA